rnacentral:rRNA from 1 species
CACAGCCGCGGUAAUACGAAGGGUGCAAGCGUUACUCGGAAUUACUGGGCGUAAAGCGUGCGUAGGUGGUGGUUUAAGUCCGUUGUGAAAGCCCUGGGCUCAACCUGGGAAUUGCAGUGGAUACUGGGUCACUAGAGUGUGGUAGAGGAUAGUGGAAUUUCCGGUGUAGCAGUGAAAUGCGUAGAGAUCGGAAGGAACAUCUGUGGCGAAGGCGACUAUCUGGGCCAACACUGACACUGAGGCACGAAAGCGUGGGGAGCAAACAGGAUUAGAUACCCGAGUAGUCCCUGUCUCUUAUACA